UUAAGAAUGACCCUCCUCCAAGAGAUAAUAGAGUGGUUUAUUCUGCACGUGCACGGCCUAGUCAGCUUCCUGAACAGUCUUCCUCUGCACAACAGAAUGUAGUAUUUCAGAUAUAUCUCCAGUUCAAGCUGCAAAAAAGGAAUUUGGACCCCCUUCACAUAGAAAAUCUAAUUGUGUGAAAGAAGUAGAAAAAUUGCAAGAAAAAUGAGAAAAAAGGAGACUGCAGCAGCAAGAACUUAGAGAAAAAAGAGCCCAGGAUGUUGAUGCUACAAAUCCAAAUUAUGAAAUUAUGUGCAUGGUCAGAGACUUUAGAGUAAGUUUGGACUAUAGACCAUUAAUAACAGCAGAUCCUAUUGAUGAACAUAGGAUAUGUGUUUGUGUAAGAAAACGACCACUCAAUAAAAAAGAAACUCAAAUGAAAGAUCUUGAUGUAAUCACAAUUCCUAGUAAAGAUGUUGUGAUGGUACAUGAACCAAAACAAAAAACAGAUUUAGCAAGGUACCUAGAAAACCAAACAUUUCAUUUUGAUUAUGCCUUUGAUUACUCAACUCCUAAUGAAAUGGUUUACAGGUUUACUGCUAGACCACUAGUGGAAACUAUAUUUGAAAGGGGAAUGGCUACAUGCUUUGCUUAUGGGCAGACUGGAAGUGGAAAAACUCAUACUAUGGGUGGUGACUUCAGGAAAGAACCAAGAUUGUUCUAAAGGGAUUUAUGCUUUAGCAGCUCGAGAUGUCUUUUUAAUGCUAAAGAAGCCAAACUAUAAGAAACUAGAACUUCAAGUAUAUGCAACCUUUUUUGAAAUUUAUAAUGGAAAGGUGUUUGACUUGCUAAAUAGGAAAACAAAAUUAAGAGUUCUAGAAGAUGGAAAACAGCAGGUUCAAGUGGUGGGAUUACAGGAACGGGAGGUCAAAUGUAUUGAAGAUGUCCUGAAACUCAUUGACAUAGACAACAGUCGCAGAACAUCCAGUCAAACAUCAGCAAAUGCACAUUCAUCUCGGAGCCAUGCAGUGUUUCAGAUUAUUCUUAGAAGGAAAGGAAAACUACAUGGCAAAUUUUCUCUCAUCGAUUUGGCUGGAAAUGAAAGAGGAGCUGAUACUUCUAGUGCAGACAGGCAAACUAAGCUUGAAGGUGCUGAAAUUAAUAAAAGCCUUUUAGCACUCAAGGAGUGCAUCGGAGCCUUAGGUAGAAAUAAACCUCAUACUCCUUUCCGAGCAAGUAAACUCACUCAGGUGUUAAGAGAUUCAUUCAUAGGUGAAAACUCUUGUACCUGCAUGAUUGCCACAAUCUCUCCAGGAAUGGCAUCCUGUGAAAAUACUCUUAAUACAUUAAGAUAUGUAAAUAGGGUCAAAGAAUUGACUGUAGAUCCAACUGCUGCUGGUGAUGUUUGUCCAAUAAUGCACCAUCCCCCAAAACAGAUUGAUGACUUAGAGACACAGUGGGGUGUGGGGAGUUCCCCUCAAAGAGAUGAUCUAAAACUUCUUUGUGAAGAAAAUGAAGAAGAAGUUUCUCCACAAUUGUUUACUUUCCAUGAAGCUGUCUCACAAAUGGUAGAAAUGGAAGAACAAGUUGUAGAAGAUCACAGGGCAGUGUUCCAGGAAUCUAUUCGAUGGUUAGAAGAUGAAAAGGCUCUCCUAGAGAUGACUGAAGAAGUAGACUAUGAUGUAGAUUCAUAUGCCACACAACUUGAAGCUAUUCUUGAGUGAAAUCUUUUCGUGCAGCUCUACAAGAAGAGGAACAAGCCAGCAAGCAGAUCAACUCGAAGAGACCCCGUGCCCUUUAAGUCGGCAUUAGCUGCUAAAGGAUCCCCAGAACCCUCGCUACUGUAAUAUAAUGAUGGUUCAGCUGUAAGGGCCAUUUGAAAGUUUGAAAUUUUAAGUGUUUGUGGAAAAUGUUUUGUUCUUCGCCUGAACGACAUUUCACUUUUGUGAAACACUCCUUUGUCUACAAAAUGCUUCUAGUCCAGGAGGCACAACCAAUAAUUGGGAUUAGUGAAGCAUUUUGUUUCAUUUGCCCAAAUAGUGAUUUACUUUUGGAGAUCCUUGUCAGUUUCAUUUUCUAUAUGAUGAAGUAAGAUUGUGAACUGGAUCCAGAGGUGGAUAGUAGGGGGAAGCUACAGCAUUUCCUUUUAACUCAGU